GUGCCCGUAGCUCAGCAGGAUAGAGCAUCGGAUUCCUAAUCCGGAGGCCGAGGUUCGAAUCCUCUCGGGCACACCA
rnacentral:tRNA from 1 species